GACGAACGCUGGCGGCGUGCCUAAUACAUGCAAGUAGAACGCUGAAGGAGGAGCUUGCUUCUCUGGAUGAGUUGCGAACGGGUGAGUAACGCGUAGGUAACCUGCCUGGUAGCGGGGGAUAACUAUUGGAAACGAUAGCUAAUACCGCAUAAUAGCAGUUGUUGCAUGAUAACUGUUUGAAAGGUGCAAUUGCACCACUACCAGAUGGACCUGCGUUGUAUUAGCUAGUUGGUGGGGUAACGGCUCACCAAGGCGACGAUACAUAGCCGACCUGAGAGGGUGAUCGGCCACACUGGGACUGAGACACGGCCCAGACUCCUACGGGAGGCAGCAGUAGGGAAUCUUCGGCAAUGGACGGAAGUCUGACCGAGCAACGCCGCGUGAGUGAAGAAGGUUUUCGGAUCGUAAAGCUCUGUUGUAAGAGAAGAACGAGU
rnacentral:rRNA from 1 species